rnacentral:tRNA from 1 species
GCGCGGUUAGCUCAGGUGGUUAGAGCGCGUCACUGAUAAUGACGAGGUCCCAGGUUCAAGUCCUGGAUCGCGCA